UACGGAGGAUCCAAGCGUUAUCCGGAUUUAUUGGGUUUAAAGGGUGCGUAGGUGGCCUGUUAAGUCAGGGGUGAAAGACGGUAGCUUAACUAUCGCAGUGCCCUUGAUACUGAAGAACUUGAAUCCACUAGAGGUAGGCGGAACGUGACAAGUAGCGGUGAAAUGCAUAGAUAUGUCACAGAACACCAAUUGCGAAGGCAGCUUACUAAAGUAUGAUUGACGCUGAGGCACGAAAGCGUGGGGAU
rnacentral:rRNA from 1 species